UGACCGCUGGCGGCAUGCUUUACACAUGCAAGUCGACCGGCAGCACAGGGAGCUUGCUCCUGGGUGGCGAGUGGCGAACGGGUGAGUAAUGUAUCGGAACGUGCCUGGUAGUGGGGGAUAACUACUCGAAAGAGUGGCUAAUACCGCAUGAGAUCUUUGGAUGAAAGCGGGGGACCUUCGGGCCUCGUGCUACUGGAGCGGCCGAUAUCAGAUUAGGUUGUUGGUGGGGUAAAGGCCUACCAAGCCUGCGAUCUGUAGCUGGUCUGAGAGGACGACCAGCCACACUGGGACUGAGACACGGCCCAGACUCCUACGGGAGGCAGCAGUGGGGAAUUUUGGACAAUGGGCGCAAGCCUGAUCCAGCAAUGCCGCGUGCAGGACGAAGGCCUUCGGGUUGUAAACUGCUUUUGUACAGAACGAAAAGUCUCUGGCUAAUAUCUAGAGAUCAUGACGGUACUGUAAGAAUAAGCACCGGCUAACUACGUG
rnacentral:rRNA from 1 species